ensembl:lncRNA
GUCAAUAUUGAGAGCAGGCGCUGGGGUUAUUUCAGAAGCCCUCCUUGGCCUCUUCCCAUACCCUUGGCUUGGAGGAAUAAACAGCAGCUGUGACUCUAUAUCAUGUAGGUCAGGUGACCACUGAGGCCACAAUUUGGAGCUGUAGACUGCAGGGCUUCUGCCUAGUUGGAAUUAACAAGAAUCAACAUGCUUUGGUGUGAAGUGAGGAGUGAGCUACUGAAGGCCUUGUGUCCCUCCCCGUACCAACAAAGCCCAGCCUCCUUUGUUCCUAAAUCCCGAUGAGUUCAGUGUGUGCAGGGCAGUCCCUGGGGUAUGCCUACACCCACCCUGCCCAUAUCGUCCUCAUUUUGCUCAACCGCUCUUCUAUCACAGAAUGAGGCUGGCAAAAGCUUCCAUAAUGCUUCUUGAGAACAAUGGGGAUGACCCAGAAUGUGGUAAGACACAUGGCACAACUGUCCCCACCUACUACCCCGUGAGGGAAGAAGCAGUCUUGAGGCCAGCACCCACCAGCCAGGCUUUAGAUCCUCUGAAGAGAGCUAGAAGGACUGGGAAGGAGUAAGAUCUGAAAUGUCUCAGAGAGUCUGGUAAAACCCUGAGAAGCCAGGGCUCACUGUGAGGCCCAUUUGGAGGGAAUCAAUAUACCAGCCUCACAGUACAGAGCCUGGGCCCUUUGCUCCUGACAAUGACAGCUGAAGUGCCUCCUGUAGAAAACUGUACCAGUCGCUAAGAGUCAAGCAGUCUCACACAGAACAGGAGGAAGGACGACCUUGCAUUCUGGAAAAGGGUGAGAGACAUGUAUUGCUGUGAUAACUUCACAGAAGCCAUGCUUUAGGUAGUUAAGAAUACAGGGAAUACCUGUGGCAGUCAUCACUCUACAGUAGCCUCCCCCGUCUCAAUAAUAAACACAGCUCCAAACACAUGGAGUGGUAACAGGAAGCAGGGAGUCUCUCAAAGUGUAGGCCAUGGCCUUGGACAGAACUAGUUACACAGGCAGAGGAAACUUUGCUUCACACAACAGGAAUAUGAACUUGCAGUGAGAAGAGCAGAACCUGUAGCUGGAUCAGUCUCUGGGUAUUCUGGAGGCCAGCUGAGGUUGGGCUGCUGUUCUGAAGCAGGGCAUGGAUGGAUAUGCAUCAGUCACCAGCCCUGCUAGGGAACUGGCCCUUUGAUGGACAGAACCAAUAGCUCCAUAAAUGACCAUGUGGCCAAAUGUGGCCAAAAGGUUCUCACUUGCAUUCUUCCCCUAAAAACAUCUCAGCAUUCAGUGGCAUCCAUCCAGAAUCCCAACUACAGUAGCACAAAUGUCUCUCAAAAUCUGAAUCAGGCCAGGCAUCCUGAUUUUUAUAGUCAGGCAAGUAUGUUUAGAUCCCUGACCUAACACUAGACUGUAGCCAGCACUUUCAAAUAAUACCCAACUGGCCUGGGAAUGAAUACAGAGGCCAAGGGUGUGUAUACAGGUCCCGUGGAAGCCACAUCUCUCUCCAAUGGAUUAUUGUCACCCAAAAUCUAGUACAUGUUGCUCCCAAAACUUCAACCUUCAAUAAUUGUGACAUUUAGAGGUGGAAAAGGGCAAAAGGGGGGAGUCACUGUAAAUAGAUUCUGAAAGGUUAUAUGUAUUGGGUUUUGCUAUCUUUUACAACUUUGACCCAAACAAUAGUAUUUUCCCUCCAUGCUGAUUUAAUGAAGCUGAAACACAACAAAGACCCAUUCAGUUUGUGUACAAUGACCAGGAACUUCCAAACACAGCCCCAGAGGACUCCUCAAAACAGCCACAGCACACUUCCUCCAGACCUGCCUGUCACCAGAACCUGCUGGCACUGGACUUUGGCUGGUGGUACAGAAUAUGCACACCAUUUCCCUGUCCUUGAUCCCCUGAGGCCUCUGGGCUGUGGCAUUCACUCUGAGCAUGCAAUUGGCUCUAGCUCUAUUCCUGGAUUAUCAGGAGUGACAAGUCUUCACUCUCGUAAAACCAAAACAAACAAAAAAAUCAACCAAAAACUCCAUGUCACUGACCAGCCACUGCUCCAGGAAGUUCUCAUGUGAAUAUCUGUGAGAGGUACCCGAGAGAUCCAGCCUGGUUGCUCAGUGGCAUGUUCAGGACUCUCUGACUCCCCUUAAGUGACUCUCCUAGAAAAUUAGUAAAUUUUCUGUCACAUAUAUGUGACAGAUAAGAUCAAAAGGAGGUAUUCUCCCUCUCCUCUUUCUCCCUUUCUCCCUCCCCCGCUCUCUCUCUCAUGUGUAUUCCUAGUUUCUUUAUCCCAGAGCCACACUGGCUGAUACAACUGAGCUGGUGUCUGAUGCUGUCCUAGACCCAAGCAGCUAAAUAUUAAACUGUUUAAUAUUUAGACUUUACUAGCAGGCGGCACUUUGGGUUUGAGCAAAGACAAAUGGGAAGGUUGGGUCACAAACAAGGCUCAUUGGUCCAUUUAUCAAGCACAGAGCAUAAAGGACACAGAAGCUCUCGUGUUCCCACAAAACACGAGCCCAGACUGACGAAACAUUCAUGUGCAGGCUUCAUAUUCAGACCUCGUAGACCCAGAGGAAAAAAACAAAAAUGCCCACAGCUUUUCAGUGAGUCUCAAGAAGACUCUAGUUAACACUUCUUAUACCCAACACUACUUCAGAAUAUCAGAAACAAAUGUUACAAC